rnacentral:rRNA from 1 species
UGGGGAAUAUUGCACAAUGGGGGAAACCCUGAUGCAGCAACGCCGCGUGAGUGAGGAAGUAUUUCGGUAUGUAAAGCUCUAUCAGCAGGGAAUAGAAAAGAAGGUACCUGAAAAAGAAGCCCCGGCUAACUACGUGCCAGCAGCCGCGGUAAUACGUAGGGGGCAAGCGUUAUCCGGAUUUACUGGGUGUAAAGGGAGCGUAGACGGAAAGGCAAGUCAGAAGUGAAAGCCCAAGGCUCAACCAUGGGACUGCUUUUGAAACUGUCAAACUAGAGUACGGGAGAGGUAAGAGGAAUUCCUAGU